UGUACAAUGUAAACAGUAAUCUGUAAUAUGAAAUUUACAUAAACAUGAGGGUCAUAGUGGAUUAUAAAUGUUCUUAUGUGUUUUCAAUUAAGCUCAUUAAUACUUUGAAUUUAUCAAGAGCUCUGUAAGCCUUUUGACAAAUUAUAUCCUUCAAAAGUGUAGCCUAUAAAACAUGGUAAGGGUGUCAGUCCUUCUGCCAAGGCAGUUCACAGACAUUUAUCUCUGACUAGACGUUUUCCUUGUGCCAUGUCAAGAUCCAUUGACUUGUACAUUAUCCUAUAAUAGACAUAAUAUACAUUUAUUUAUUAUGUCUAUGAUCCCGAUGCCAGUCUGGAUGGUAACGGGUCUUCUCAUACACAUCAGUCAAAGAGGACAUCUGCUGGUCAGAACCUCGUAACGCAGGGCAUUUCCUGUGACAGAGCAACAGAACAAAAGUUGACAUGAAUGUGACAGGAGACAGAUUAAUGUUAUGAUUGAGAAAACAUGUUGAUGUUCAGUGUGAUCAUAGUCUCACCAGUGCAAACUAAAGCUGGACAGAUCUUUCUGACACAGGCAAUGCAGCACAGCAUCAUGGAUAAAUGGGAAAAGCCGACCUUUUGAGACGGACUCUGAGAAGAAUCCUCAUCGCUUCAACUGCUGCUCUACACACACUGCAGCCACAGAUUUUAGUGCCAAAUAAAAGGAUCCUCAACCUACGAGUCUUGGAGCAGUACAUUACAGAAUACUUCACCACCAUGGAUCCAGCAGUACGUCUCAUCCGCUUAUACCACUGCAAGAUUAUUUAAUCCGUAAUGGUCCUUGAGGGUCGCUCGCUGAAUUUCUGGAUUUUGCCCUACUCUCAAGCACAAUAUAUAGGGAGGAAUGUACAUGAGGACCAGUGUGAUUUUUGGGGAAUUGUAUUGAAUCCAAAUAUGGUCAAUUUGACCCGGACCAUAUGGCAGUCACCAGAAAUUGAACAGUGCAUGAGGGUUAAUCUAUCACAAUCAUUUUUACAUCAGCAGGGCCUAAAAUGAACACUCGCCAAGUGCCAAAUAAGAAUCAAGGAAGCACUUGGUUAGAAGAGGGGAAUUACACAAGGAAAGACAAAAUAUAAAAUCAACAUUUUGAAUGGUGCCAUGGCCUCCAGAAAGAGUCUCUCUGGAGAAACUGAUGCAAAGACAAAGGAAUGUCAAAGUGAAUCUCCUAAACUCUGCUGUCAGUCAAUGGAUAACCCUUUAAACAUCAGCUCAGGAAACACUUCUGCUCAUG